rnacentral:rRNA from 1 species
CCCCCCGUGAGAAUGCCCUCAUCUUCCUGCCCGGAAGAGAGGAGCUGGUAUCAGGCACAACUGAGUAGCCCAUUACACCUUGCUUAGCCACACCCUCAAGGGAAUUCAGCAGUGAUAAACAUUAAGCCAUAAGUGAAAACUUGACUUAGUUAAAGUUAAGAGGGCCGGUAAAACUCGUGCCAGCCACCGCGGUUAUACGAGCAGGCCCGAGUUGAUAAAUACCGGCGUAAAGCGUGGUUAAGGAAACAUACAAACUAAAGUCGAACACCCCCAGAGCUGUUAUACGCAUCCGAGGGCAUGAAGAACCACCACGAAAGUGACUUUACAACAGCCUGAACCCACGAAAGCUAAGACACAAACUGGGAUUAGAUACCCCACUAUGCUUAGCCCUAAAUAUAGAUAAUCAUAUACCAUAUUAUCCGCCAGGGGACUACGAGCAUCAGCUUAAAACCCAAAGGACUUGGCGGUGCUUUAGACCCACCUAGAGGAGCCUGUUCUAGAACCGAUAACCCCCGUUCAACCUCACCCCUCCUUGCUUUCCCC